AACGAACGCUGGCGGCGUGGAUAAGACAUGCAAGUCGAACGCUGAACGAAAAGUAGCAAUAUUUUUUGUUUGGAGUGGCGCAAGGGUGCGUAACACGUAGGCAAUUUUUCCUAAAGUUUUGAAUAACUUGCUGAAAAGUAAGCUAAUACAAAAUGUGGCUUCUCUAAGGCAUCUUGGAGAGGUUAAAGCCGGGGUCGCAAGACCUGGUGCUAUUGGAUAUGCCUGCGGCCUAUCAGCUAGUUGGUAAGGUAACGGCUUACCAAGGCAAUGACGGGUAGCUGGUCUGAGAGGACGACCAGCCACACUGGAACUGAGACACGGUCCAGACACCUACGGGUGGCAGCAGUCGAGAAUUUUUCUCAAUGGGCGAAAGCCUGAAGGAGCGACGCCGCGUGGGGGAUGAAGAGAUUCGUCUUGUAAACCCCUGUCAUUUGCGAACAAGUUUUUUGGCCUAAUACGCUAAAAAUUGAUUGUAGCGAAAGAGGAAGGGACGGCUAACUCUGUGCCAGCAGCCGCGGUAAUACAGAGGUCCCAAGCGUUGUUCGGAUUCACUGGGCGUAAAGGGUGCGUAGGUGGCUGUGCAAGUCUGAUGUGAAAUCCCGAAGCCUAACUUCGGAACUGCAUUGGAAACU
rnacentral:rRNA from 1 species